rnacentral:lncRNA from 1 species
GAUGUGAGGAGAAGAGGCAGAAGUGAAGCCAGGCACAGGCCCGGGCAGACCGGGGAGGCCAGGAGGUCACCACCCUGCUCCCAGCCCCUACACCACUUCUUGUCUCCACACAGGGAACGACCCAGGGCAGCACCUUCUCCUUCAAAGCCAGUUCAAAGGACGCCAGAUUUGAGACUUUCCAGACGGGUGUCCUGUGUCCGGCUUGGCUACCAACUGAUUAUAUCUUUGGCUAAGUUUCAACUGCAGAACCGGUUAGCCCUCAUAUCACUCGAUCACUCGAGGCAGAACCCUCUCAGUGAACAGUCCUCUUCUGCGGCCUGAGGAUCAAGAUGUAGAACCCUCAGCUCCUUCAGCACCACGCCUGCCUGGACACUGCCAUGCUUCCUGCCGUGAUAACAGACUGAACCUCUGAAACUGUAAGCCAGCCCCAGUUAAAUGUUGCCCUCAGAAGAGUUGCAUUGGUCAUGGUGUCUCUUCAUAGCAAUAAAACCCUAACUAAGACAUUUCGGUUGUUGUGACUGUCGCUGACAAAUGAGAGCGGAUUGGAGUGUCCACCCUGGCUGCCUGAGGGGUCACAUCACAGAAUGUCCUUAGUGAGUCUCCGAGGCACAGACUUCUGCAUGCCCAGGAAUGUUUUCCUUCACCCUCUCUGAAGGGUGGCUUUGCUGCAGCUGGCACCGUGCUGAUGGUCACUUCUCACCUGACAUCGGGACACCCUUCAUUGACACCUUAGAGCCAGUGCAGCAGCCUUCUCUGCUGCUUUGGAGUUACAGCUGUUCGGGAAGGAUUUCAGGCGUGUCAGUACACAAAGCAAAGCAUAUAUCAGCCCUGAGACUGAUGAGACUGAUGAUGAAUCAAGUUCGGGUUGUCAACCCUAACUGAGACUCGGGAAAAUGAGGAGACCAGCCCAAACUCAACCAGGGCAUGAUAGUCAUGGGCCAGCUUGUCCCAAAGAAACACCCAAGUCUGUCACAUGUGCCCUUCUCUGGGCCCAAACCUGCACCUUGGAACACGGUGUGAACUGAAUACACCAGUCUGCCACAGUCUUCCACUAGCAGCCUUUGGAUGAAGACAUAGAACUCUCAGCUCCUCCUGCGCCAUGCCUGCCUGGAUGCUGCCAUGCUCCCACCUUGAUAAUACUGGACUGAACCUCUGAACCGUCUUGGUGCACGUAUGCUUGCAUGCGCAUCAGAAGCCUGAAGUUCCAUUUGUCAUCUGUCACGGUGUUUGGAGGACUGGUUGAACAUCGGGCUUCUGAGGAUUCUCUUGAUUCUGCCUUCCACCUUGCCACAGGAGUUCUGGGACCUCACUACCAUGUUUAGCUUUACACGGAUCCUGGAGACUCAAACCCAGGCCCCCAUGCUUGCAUGGCAAGCCCUUUACCCACCGCUGGCUAGUUUUAUGUCAAAUUAGUACAAGCUAGGGUUAUGUGAGAGGAGGGAACCUCAGUAAAGAAAAAUGCCUCUGUAAGAGCAGGCUGUAGGCCAGCCUGGAGGGGAUUUUCUUGGUUACUGAUUGAUAAUGGAGGGCCCAGCCCAUUGUGGACGUUGCCACCGCUGGGCUGGCGGUGCUGUAAGAAAGCAGGCUGACGAGUAUGAAGCUAGUAAGCAGUCUUUCCCUGUGGCCUUUGUAUCUGCUCCUGCCUCUAGGUUCCUAGCCUGCUUGAGUCCCUGUCCUAACUUCCUCAGUGACAGACUGGCCUGUGGAACUAUAAGUUGAAAUAAACCUUUUCUACCC